UACAGAGGGGGCAAGCGUUGUUCGGAAUUACUGGGCGUAAAGGGCGCGUAGGCGGCCUCUUAAGUCGAACGUGAAAUCCCCGGGCUUAACCCGGGAACUGCGUCCGAUACUGGGAGGCUUGAAUUCGGGAGAGGGAUGCGGAAUUCCAGGUGUAGCGGUGAAAUGCGUAGAUAUCUGGAGGAACACCGGUGGCGAAGGCGGCAUCCUGGACCGACACUGACGCUGAGGCGCGAAAGCUAGG
rnacentral:rRNA from 1 species